GUGGAAGAGAGAUUGGGACUGAGUGC
rnacentral:piRNA from 1 species